rnacentral:misc_RNA from 1 species
GAUGAAGAACGUAGCGAAAUGCGAUAAGUAAUGUGAAUUGCAGAAUUCAGUGAAUCAUCGAAUCUUUGAACGCACAUUGCGCCCGCCAGUAUUCUGGCGGGCAUGCCUGUUCGAGCGUCAUUACAACCCUCAGGCCCCCGGGCCCGGCGUUGGGGAUCGGCAGAAGCCCCCUGUGGGCACACGCCGUCCCUCAAAUACAGUGGCGGUCCCGCCGCAGCUUCCAUUGCGUAGUAGCUAACACCUCGCAACUGGAGAGCGGCGCGGCCAUGCCGUAAAACACCCAACUUCUGAAUGUUGACCUCGAAUCAGGUAGGAAUACCCGCUGAACUUAAGCAUAUCAAUAAGCGGAGGA